AGUUGCAGUAGUGCAAGGCAUGCCCUGUAAAAAUGACCAAUCACCAUGUAGUUGAUUUUACAGAUGACGACAACAAGGUGAAUGAACAGUUUUAUUGUCGACUCCCGGCGUUCCUGGCGCUGCUCGUCGACUCCCGGCGUUGCGUGUUUGUUCAUCGUGCCCCCAAGCCGCUCCAUCCUCCAGGAAGUACUAUCUGAUAGUUAACAAGAAGCAAUCAGCUGGCAUGCUGAUUUGUUACUGAAAAAAUGACUGGGGGUACUCUGGUGUGUUUUUCAUGUGGACCAGACAAACAACAAGUUGGACUGGCAGGACGAAGAGGCAGGCUGCGGCUACAUUCAGUGGAGUGACCUUCUAGAAAGUAAUCAAGGUCUUCAGUACAAACAAAGAUGAGGCUUCCUUCUACUAUUUUUACUGUGUCUCAAGGAUGCAUCGCUGCUGAAGGACCUGAUCUUUGCAAAAAAUGUAAGUCUGACAUCACCAUGUUUGUCAUGGGUGUCAGCAAGAAGGAAUACAAGUCGAACAUCACCAUUGUCUCCAGCACUAGCUACACCACCAAUUGCCUGCUCCUCUUGCUAAGGUGCUUUUUAUUACAACUUGUGUUACUCAAUUUAAAUACCCAUAUUGUGUAAUCAUAUGUUGAUAUAUUUGUUCCUUUUAGGUUAUCAAUGAUAGGUUUGGCAUCGUUGAGGGUUUGAUGACCACUAUUCAUUCCAUGCCCGGUAAGCAUUUGAUUGGUUUUAGGUUGACCGAACACUUCUUUUUUAUCUUUGUCUGGUUAGCUUGAUGUGUCUGAAUUAUAGCUGAACACGAAAAGAGCUGAUCUAAUUUGAAUUAUUUUAUGUUCAUUUUUGCAGGCUAAUAUUUUUGUCUGUAUAGGGCUAUGAAAUUGAUUUAGGCUGGUGGUACAUGUUAGGUUUUGGUUAAUUUACGAAGGAAUCAAAAAUCA